AUUAGAUUCAGUUGUUUUUCAGUU
rnacentral:piRNA from 1 species